GUCGAAUUAGCUCAGGUGGUAGAGCACUCGCUUAGCAUGUGAGAGGUGGUGGGUUCGAUGCCCACAUUCUCCA
rnacentral:tRNA from 1 species